rnacentral:lncRNA from 1 species
CACGAAAUUUACAAAGUAACAAUUUCAACAAUAAGAGUAAUAUCCAUUACAACCCCAGCCAUAUACAAUCGUGAACAUCAAAUGCCCAUAUAAUCUCUAAAUAUAACCGAGGAGUAAAACUUACAAAAUAAAACCAAACAAGCCCACUAGAGCGCUAAGGAGUGCCUACGCGAGCAACUAAUAAAAGUUAGAUAAAAUCUAUGCUUUCUCCAAUUCCCACUCUCAUGUUCUUACCCCUGUAAGGAAAACAAAUUUAUGAAAUGAGCUAGAAACCCAAUGAGGUUCCAAGAAAAUAUGCAAGUAAACCAGCAUGCAUGACACAAAACAUAGUGAAGUAGGUAAUUAGAUAGAUCAUGCAAUAAUGUACAGUAAAUAUCACAUUCAUAUCAAAGGAUACAGUCUACUUCCAGGAGCAGGCACCAUGGUAGUUUAUCUAAGGUCCAUUGACACUCCGUCAACCACGAAAUUAUAAUGUCCGUAGAUCACCACUAAAUGUCAAUCUCCAUCAAUCAAUCAUCUCCCUACUGGGCUGGAACACCAAACAAGUACCAGGGUUCGUCAAUCUUCUCGAUCAAAUCCUUGCUGGCUCGAUUCGACCAACUAGCCAUGGGUUAGGCUUACAACCCCCAAGUAUUCAAAUAUUCAUGAUCUGGAUCCUAAGUAUUCAAGUAUUCAUGAUAUGGGAUUAAAAUCUCAAUUAUUCAAAUAUUCACGAGUAAAGUCAUUGGCUAUCACCCAACGCUCACGCAAGUAAGGAUUGGAGACGUUAGCUAUCACCUAAUGCUUCGUAUUCAAGCACGUCAUGAGUUCAAAUCAUGAACAAACAGGUUAGGAACUUUAUCCUUUACCCAAGGUGCCCAACUUACCCGACCGCUCUAAGGUUGGUCUCAAACAAGAGGUCUAACAAGGGCUCGAUUCAGCCGUUAUUGACCUGUAUUCACACAUACGCAUGAGUAACCCAAGUUCCCACUUAUCCGACAUCUCGGAUAAGGGUCCAAAAGCCCAGUUCAACCAUUGUAAGAAGAUAUGCUAGUUAUCUACAAUCAUAUACAUGUAUAUGCAAGUCCACACGCAAGAUCAAGUAUUUCAAGUUCACGGAGGUUGAGUGCGAAUAAGGACACACUCGCCUAGCCAAGAUCAAGUCACAAGUAGGUUCAGCAUGUCACAUUGUUCAAGAAUUUCAAGUCAAGAUAUGGGUCACAUGUAAAUCAAAUUGCUUUUACAUGCAUGAACAAGAUAUCAAGAGUUUAGUCAAGUUAGAUCAAGUGCGAUAAAAUACACACUCAUCUAAGAAAUGACAAAUCAAGUGCCUAACAAUUUUAGCAACAAGUAGCAUGGAACAUACAGUUAGAACACUCACCAGUUCAAAAUAGAACACCGUUAAACAUUCAUCUCCGAGUUAUGCUCAUGUUCACUAUCAAACCCUAGGAGCAACUAGGACAAAAAUAUGAUUGUACAAUCGUUCAAAGUUUAGGUGAACCAAAUUCACAUUUUAGGCUCAAUUAUGAGUCAUACACCUAUCCAAGUUGGCCUCCUAAAUUCACAAGGGUUUAAAAACAAAUUUGAAGAUGCAAAUCAAGAAAAAUCCAAGCACAUACUAGGGUAAUGAUUCAAUUAUAGUUUUGAAGUAAAAAGAAAGCAUUUGGACCCAAAAAAUAUGAGCAACCAAAGAAUUCUACAUUUCAUUUCAUUGCUGGAAAUUUCCAGCAACCAUACCGAAACAAGAAGUCUAGCCACAAAAGUCAAGAUUUUCACCAUAAAAACUCACAUGCUUGCUAGGAUUGAAGUCUUUUAAGAUAUAUGGGGUCAAGAUAUGCCAAUUUAUAGCCAAAGUUUUAGAUGUAAAGUUGGAAACAUCUCAGCUUC